AGUCGAACAACAUUGCGUAAUGGUAUUUUUUGUCGUAUUUAUAGAACCUAUGGAAGCUUAUAGGACAGUGUCACCUUUCAUACUACAUGUUGCAGCGUAAUAUGAGCAUAUUGAUGUAAUUUCAGCUCGGAAUUACUUAACAGUGAAUGCAUUUAUGCUUUAAACAGAUUGUCGUGAGGCUAAUAAUAAACAAAUUAAAGAAAUAUACCACGAUUGAGAUGAAAAUAUAGCAAUUGCAAACUUGAUAACCACUGUAUUAUGCAAUCACAUUUUAGAAAUCUAGCUCAGCUGACAAUCAGUUUUGUUCUUAGACCACAGAAAGUUUCCUCUACAAUAACCUACACCAAUUCCAAAAUGUCCCGUAUCCUUGUUGUCAGCUUUUACUUGUUCGCUUUGAUCGUUGCAUUGGAAAGUACCGACGUGUUCCUUCAUGAUGUUACAAACAAUAGAUGGUAUAAACAUGGAACCAAAGAUAAAAAGGCUGUCAUGAG